rnacentral:rRNA from 1 species
AGUGAACGCUGGCGGUAGGCCUAACACAUGCAAGUCGAACGGCAGCACAGGAGAGCUUGCUCUCUGGGUGGCGAGUGGCGGACGGGUGAGGAAUACAUCGGAAUCUGCCCAGUCGUGGGGGAUAACGUAGGGAAACUUACGCUAAUACCGCAUACGACCUUCGGGUGAAAGAGGGGGAUCGCAAGACCUCUCGCGAUUGGAUGAGCCGAUGUCGGAUUAGCUAGUUGGCGGGGUAAUGGCCCACCAAGGCGACGAUCCGUAGCUGGUCUGAGAGGAUGAUCAGCCACACUGGAACUGAGACACGGUCCAGACUCCUACGGGAGGCAGAAGUGGGGAAUAUUGGACAAUGGGCGCAAGCCUGAUCCAGCCAUACCGCGUGGGUGAAGAAGGCCUUCGGGUUGUAAAGCCCUUUUGUUGGGAAAGAAAUCUUUCAGGCUAAUACCCUGGGAGGAUGACGGUACCCAAAGAAUAAGCACCGGCUAACUUCGUG